AUAACUACAAAACUCAUCAUAUUUAGACAAACUUCUCAUUCAACAUAUAAAAAUAAAAUUAGACAAAAGUGGAAUAAAUUACAUAAAAUAGUAGCAUAAAAUAAUAUAUAAAAAUAUUAUAAUAAAAAAAUGAAAAUAGGGGGACCAAAACUAAAAAAAAAUGAAAAUAGGGGAUCAAAAUUACAAUAAAGACAAAACGAAGGAGAUGAGAGAUUAGAGAAGAUAAAAAUGAAAAAACAUAAGAGAUGUGAGAUUAGAGAAGAAAUGUGUGAUAAAAACGUAAUUAGAAGAGAAAAUAAUAACAUAAAAACGAGAAGAUGAAAAAGAAAGAACAUAAGAGAUGAGAGAUUAGAGUAGAAGAGGUGAGACAUACAUGGAAAAUAAAAUAAGAAGAAUGUGCGAUACUAGUAGGAGAU
rnacentral:lncRNA from 1 species